rnacentral:rRNA from 1 species
GAUGAACGCUGACAGAAUGCUUAACACAUGCAAGUCUACUUGAACUUCGGUUUGGGUGGCGGACGGGUGAGUAACGCGUAAAGAACUUGCCUCACAGUUAGGGACAACAUUUGGAAACGAAUGCUAAUACCUGAUAUUAUGAUUUUAGGGCAUCCUAAGAUUAUGAAAGCUAUAUGCACUGUGAGAGAGCUUUGCGUCCCAUUAGCUAGUUGGAGAAGUAACGGCUCACCAAGGCGAUGAUGGGUAGCCGGCCUGAGAGGGUGAACGGCCACAAGGGGACUGAGACACGGCCCUUACUCCUACGGGAGGCAGCAGUGGGGAAUAUUGGACAAUGGACCAAAAGUCUGAUCCAGCAAUUCUGUGUGCACGAUGACGUUUUUCGGAAUGUAAAGUGCUUUCAGUUGGGAAGAAAAAAAUGACGGUACCAACAGAAGAAGUGACGGCGAAAUACGU